AUUUUUAUUUUGAAACUGUAAAGGGAAAAAAUAUAAAAAAUGCUAAAUAGACGUGUCCACUUCAAUGUUAUGUGUUCUAAACAUUAGGUCAUUUUUAUUUCCUUCUGUAGUCACAAUAAUAUACAUUUUGAUUAGGUGUGUCCUAUGCUGGAGUUAUCUGUUCAGGUAAAACACUGUAAACAGGGACUGUACAUUAUCUGCCAUGUAGGCAAAGUGUACAGCACAUAUGAUUUUUCUUUUUAACCCACCCUAAAUCCUUGUUGAUUGCCAAGGUAAAUUGGUAUGUUUAAACUGAGCAAUCACCAAACUGUGCUGUACACUGGAAUUCUCAACCAACAAUUAAUUUACUGAUUUUUUUUUUUUUUUACUGAUUUCAUAAUUUUGCUGAUCCAUAUUAAUUUGUUUAAUGUAAUUCAUAGCUUUACUGAACUUAUUUUGAAUCCUUAUACUCUCUUUAGUUUUUUCCAAUGCAUUUAUGAAUCAUUCAUUGUGCAAUAUUUAGCAUCAUCAUGCUUAAUCAUUUAUCAUUACUGAUAAAUAAGCUUUCUUUUUUUCAUGGUAAUUUUUAGGUGUCCUGCUGGUUAAUGGCUCUCGCUGCUCUGGGAGAGUGGAGGUUCUUCAUGGUGAGAGCUGGUUCACAGUGUGUGAUGCUGACUUUAACCAGCUGGAUGCAGAGGUUGUGUGUCAGGAGCUGGGCUCAAACACAACUGCUCCCAUGAUAACGUUGUGGGACUGGUGUGUGCAGACAGUGUGAGGUUGGCGGAUGGUGGCAGUCGCUGAGGAGAGCAGAGGUUUUUCACAGAGGACAGUGGGGAACAAUUUGUGGUGCUGGUGCAAAUUUCAUAGCGGGUUUUGUCAUGUGUAAAGAGUUGGGCUGUGGAGAGCCGUUUAGGACUGAUGCAGCUGUUCCAGGAUCUGCACCGAUCUGGAUGAGUCAUGUGAAGUGUACUGGAUCAGAGUCUACACUGAAACACUGUGGAUCAUUAGGGUGGGGUGAACACAGCUGUAAUCAUAAUAUGGAUAUUGAGCUUACCUGUUCAGGUAUGUUUUAAUUAGACAAAAACUGUAAUACGUACGUAUUACAUGUAUUACAUUUGUGAACUUUCUGAGAAUGUUUCGACACAUCAUAGACAAAAUCAAAUCAGAGAUCAUAUGAUGGAAUGUCACUGUUUUGUAUACCUAUUCCGUAUUAAAUAUUCUAUUACAUAGUAAAUUCUGACAGUUACAGCUAAUGUGAGAAGCAGUGAUGUUUUUUUUUAACAUUUGCUUUGACUUUUAUUUAAUUGCUGAAAAUAUUAACCCAAGAUAUUGUCUAGUCAGUUUCAUUUUGUUUGAUAAAAUUUAAUUCAAUAAAAAAGGGUCUGCAGUACUGAUUUGCUAGAGCACAACAUUUGUUUUCAAAAUUAUAACCUGAAUGAAACAAAAUGCAUUAGUCCUUUCCACUUCCAGACAACUUCUCAAACACUUUAUGUGCCAAAACAAAACCAGUCAACACACUGUAAUUAGAAACAUAGUGCCAUUUCCAGCUUAACAAUUUAGUGCUGGACGAUAUGACAAAACUUAUGUCACAAUAUAUAAAUUUUAGUCGAUGUGUUAUCGUUUUGAUAUAAAUGUGUACAGCUCAACUGAACAACUUCCUGAUGUGUACAUUAUCACACACUGAGAUUGCCAGACUAUGGUAUUCUAUACCACUCUGCUGUUUCGCUUAAAAAAAAUCAGUCAGUAAAGAUGCUGUAAAUACUGUACAUAUCUUAAAAAAAUGUUAUAAAUUGAUGCUCCUUUAUUCGUAUGCAAAUUACAAAAAAUAUAAAUGAAGGUCACACAUGCCAGAUAUUCUAGGCUACUCUAAAAUAGUUAACAUUUUUUACAUUUAUUAUUACAAUAACAGCUUAAAUGCUUUGCUGUGUAAUAAUAAAAUAUACCAGCCCUGCUUAAAAUGAUU